rnacentral:misc_RNA from 1 species
GAAUGGGAAAGUGAGUUGGAAAAAUUGAAAGAAAUUCCUGAUAUGAACAUUCAAGCAGUUCUGAAAAUAAGUUAUGAUGGACUAGAACGUCAUGAAAAGAGUGUAUUUCUUGAUAUUGCAUGUUUCCUUAAAGAGGAGCCUAAAGAUCGUGUUGAAAGAAUAUUAGAAGGUUGCGGUUUCUUUCCAAGAAGAGCAAUAAGCCGUUUAAUUGAUAAAUCUCUCAUAACUGUUUCAGACGGUAAGGUAGGUAUGCAUGACUUGUUACAACAGAUGGGUAAGGAAAUUGUUUAUGAGGAAUCCAAA